ensembl:lncRNA
GAUCUAUGACCUGCUGCCUCCAGGAUAGCGGAGGAAAUGCCACACCCGCCACCUACGUCCUGCUGUGAAACUAAGAUAAACACCACCUCUCAAGAACCUCAACAAGAAUAAAAAAGUGGUUCCGCUUCCUGAAAAAGAACAAUAUGACAUUCUAGAGGAAAAAAAUAUACCUGUAUUACAAGAAACUCCAGUAGAAAUAGAAGCCCAAAGAUGAACACCAGUGGAACAGCAAACACAAGAACAGUCAGGAGAAAAAGGGCAAAGACUUGAGUCACCAGAAUCUCCCGAACCAUUGUCCUCUGAAAAUCCAUCUCAAGAGCAAAGCUCCAGAACACCAGAAUCUCUUGGACAAUUACCCUUGGAAGAACCUCUCCAGGAACAAAGUCCUGAGCAGCAGGAGUCCCCUGAACCAUUAUCCUUGGGACAGUGAACUUAGACACGGAUGACUCAGGGACGAUAAGAACAACAAAUACCACGAAAACAGAAUAUCAGCUGUGUUGCGAGGAGCAACCUUCUAAAGUUGAAAAGGAUCACAAGACAAAUGAAAAUAAAAUCGUAUACUUUUUUCACAUUAAACUGAAGAGCCCGGCCCGGGUAGAAAACCAACACAUCAACCCAAGCACCUUUCUGUGUACUCGACGCAGCUUUUCUUCAACCGCUGGGCUCCAUCUCGCACACGGACAUUUUCACAGCAGCAAAACCGUGUUGGCGGUGAAACUAACGCCCUGUAAUGGUGCCGUCUCAAAAGCUAAGAAGAAACAUUUACCUGUUUAGUCCGUUGCUCCGAUUCCUUUGCCUGGUGAUACUUUUUUAGUAAACAUUUAAAAGAAUGAAAUGUGGUUCUUCGUCCAUAGGUCUCACAGUGAUCAUUCAGAAAACUAGAGAAAUUUGAAAUCACAUAGUCCAUUUCUCUUUUUUUUUUCUCGGAAUGUGCCCCGGAAGGUAUUAUUUUGUUUUUAUACAAAUUGGAAGUUCUCACUAAAAGAGGAACUCAGACACGUGAAGUUAAGGUGUGAAAGCAUUUUAUCUCCCAAAUGAUUGCCAAAGAGGAGAGAAGAAAGAUCCAGUGUGAGCUGUGAAUAAUUUUUUUUUUUUUGGUACCGGAUUGAACUUGGGACCUUGCGCUUGGGAGGAAGGCGG